AUUCACGUGAUUCUGAGGCAGUGUAGUUAGCUAGUUGUUUUCUUAUCCGGGUGGGUUUGUACCCCACAUCGGUUUUCAUAUAAACAACUACUUUUUGCACUA
rnacentral:pre_miRNA from 1 species